GAUGAAGAACGUAGCAAAAUGCGAUAAGUAGUGUGAAUUGCAGAAUUCAGUGAAUCAUCGAAUCUUUGAACGCACAUUGCGCCCCCUGGUAUUCCGGGGGGCAUGCCUGUCCGAGCGUCAUUACAACCCUCAAGCUCAGCUUGGUAUUGGGCCCCGCCGACCCGGCGGGCCCUAAAGUCAGUGGCGGUGCCGUCCGGCUCCGAGCGUAGUAAUUCUUCUCGCUCUGGAGGUCCGGUCGUGUGCUCGCCAGCAACCACCAAUUUUUUUCAGGUUGACCUCGGAUCAGGUAGGGAUACCCGCUGAACUUAAGCAUAUCAAUAAGCGGAGGA
rnacentral:misc_RNA from 1 species